rnacentral:rRNA from 1 species
CAUGCAGUCGAACGAGAAUCUGUGGAUCGAGGAUUCGUCCAAGUGAAGCAGAGGACAGUGGCGGACGGGUGAGUAACGCGUGAGGAACCUGCCUUUCAGAGGGGGACAACAGUUGGAAACGACUGCUAAUACCGCAUGAUACAUUUGGGUGGCAUCAUCUGAAUGUCAAAGAUUUAUCGCUGAAAGAUGGCCUCGCGUCUGAUUAGCUAGUUGGUGGGGUAACGGCCCACCAAGGCGACGAUCAGUAGCCGGACUGAGAGGUUGACCGGCCACAUUGGGACUGAGAUACGGCCCAGACUCCUACGGGAGGCAGCAGUGGGGAAUAUUGGGCAAUGGGCGCAAGCCUGACCCAGCAACGCCGCGUGAAGGAAGAAGGCUUUCGGGUUGUAAACUUCUUUUAAGAGGGAAGAGCAGAAGACUGUACCUCUAGAAUAAGCCACGGCUAACUACGUGCCAGCAGCCGCGGUAAUACGUAGGUGGCAAGCGUUGUCCGGAUUUACUGGGUGUAAAGGGCGUGCAGCCGGGAAUGCAAGUCAGAUGUGAAAUCCAUGGGCUUAACCCAUGAACUGCAUUUGAAACUGUAUUUCUUGAGUACUGGAGAGGCAAUCGGAAUUCCUAGUGUAGCGGUGAAAUGCGUAGAUAUUAGGAGGAACACCAGUGGCGAAGGCGGAUUGCUGGACAGCAACUGACGGUGAGGCGCGAAAGUGUGGGGAGCAAACAGGAUUAGAUACCCUGGUAGUCCACACUGUAAACGAUGAAUACUAGGUGUGCGGGGACUGACCCUCUGCGUGCCGCAGUUAACACAAUAAGUAUUCCACCUGGGGAGUACGAUCGCAAGGUUGAAACUCAAAGGAAUUGACGGGGGCCCGCACAAGCGGUGGAUUAUGUGGUUUAAUUCGAAGCAACGCGAA